CAGUCGCCACGGUAAUACGUAGGGUGCGAGCGUUAAUCGGAAUUACUGGGCGUAAAGCGUGCGCAGGCGGUUGUGUAAGACAGGUGUGAAAUCCCCGGGCUUAACCUGGGAACUGCGCUUGUGACUGCACAGCUAGAGUAUGGCAGAGGGGGGUGGAAUUCCACGUGUAGCAGUGAAAUGCGUAGAGAUGUGGAGGAACACCGAUGGCGAAGGCAGCCCCCUGGGCCAAUACUGACGCUCAUGCACGAAAGCGUGGGGAGCAAACAGGAUUAGAUACCCACGUAGUCCCUGUCUCUUAUAC
rnacentral:rRNA from 1 species